rnacentral:rRNA from 1 species
UAGGGAAUCUUCGGCAAUGGGGGCAACCCUGACCGAGCAACGCCGCGUGAGUGAAGAAGGUUUUCGGAUCGUAAAGCUCUGUUGUAAGAGAAGAACGUGUGUGAGAGUGGAAAGUUCACACAGUGACGGUAACUUACCAGAAAGGGACGGCUAACUACGUGCCAGCAGCCGCGGUAAUACGUAGGUCCCGAGCGUUGUCCGGAUUUAUUGGGCGUAACGCGAGCGCAGGCGGUUUAAUAAGUCUGAAGUUAAAGGCAGUGGCUUAACCAUUGUUCGCUUUGGAAACUGUUACACUUGAGUGCAGAAGGGGAGAGUGGAAUUCCAUGUGUAGCGGUGAAAUGCGUAGAUAUAUGGAGGAACACCGGUGGCGAAAGCGGCUCUCUGGUCUGUAACUGACGCUGAGGCUCGAAAGCGUGGGGAGCAAACAGG